rfam:Microbispora rosea strain ATCC 12950 genome assembly, contig: Ga0104720_108
GCGGUACCGGUUCCCGCAGCCGCGCAUCACAGGUGUGCCGAUGCGCGCAGGCCGUGACAGGCGAAGCGACCCGGCGACC